UAGGGGGCAAGCGUUAUCCGGAUUUACUGGGCGUAAAGGGUGCUUAGGUGGUCUUUCAAGUCAGGAGUGAAAGGCUACGGCUCAACCGUAGUACGCUCUUGAAACUGGAAGACUUGAGUGCAGGAGAGGAGAGUGGAAUUCCUAGUGUAGCGGUGAAAUGCGUAGAUAUUAGGAGGAACACCAGUUGCGAAGGCGGCUCUCUGGACUGUAACUGACGCUGAGGCACGAAAGCGUGGGGAGCAAACAGGAUUAGAUACCCUGGUAGUCCACGCCGUAAACGAUGAGUACUAGCCGUCGGAGGUUACCCCCUUCGGUGGCGCAACUAACGCAUUAAGUACUCCGCCUGGGAAGUACGCUCGCAAGAGUGAAACUCAAAGGAAUUGACCGGGACCCGCACAAGUAGCGGAGCAUGUGGUUUAAUUCGAAGCAACGCGAAGAACCUUACCUAAGCUUGACAUCCCACUGACCCUUCCCUAAUCGGAAGUUUCCCUUCGGGGACAGUGGUGACAGGUGGUGCAUGGUUGUCGUCAGCUCGUGUCGAGAGAUGUUGGGUUAAGUCCCGCAACGAGCGCAACUCUUGCUUUUAGUUGCCAGCAUUUAAAUUGGGCACUCUAGAGGGACUUGCCUUGAUAACCUGGAGGAAGGUGAGAUGACUCCUAGCCGUCGUGUCUCUUUAUGUCUUAGGGCUACACACAUGCUAGAAUGAAAGUACCCAGUCCACCCCAACUCGUUAAAGCGCACCUAAAUCCCUUAUAGCCAUUAGAGAGUCGGAUUGGAAGCUGGAAUCUCCCCUAAAUAGAAACUGCAAUUACCCGCUAACAGAAGAACGUAAUGCUGCGGGUGAAUGGCGAUUCUGGUAUUCUAGAACCCGACCGCCCCACCGAACGAU
rnacentral:rRNA from 1 species